rnacentral:rRNA from 1 species
UACGGAGGAUCCAAGCGUUAUCCGGAUUUAUUGGGUUUAAAGGGUGCGUAGGCGGCCUAUUAAGUCAGGGGUGAAAGACGGUAGCUUAACUAACGCAGUGCCUUUGAUACUGAUGGGCUUGAAUACACUAGAGGUAGGCGGAAUGUGACAAGUAGCGGUGAAAUGCAUAGAUAUGUCACAGAACACCAAUUGCGAAGGCAGCUUACUUUGGUGCGAUUGACGCUGAGGCACGAAAGCGUGGGGAU